rnacentral:rRNA from 1 species
GACAUAGGUGGCGAACGUUAUCCGGAUUUAUUGGGCGUAAAGCGCGUGUAGGCGGCUUUGCAAGUCGGGUGUGAAAGCCCUCAGCUCAACUGAGGAAGUGCGCCCGAAACUGCAGAGCUUGAGUGCCGGAGAGGGUGGCGGAAUUCCCCAAGUAGAGGUGAAAUUCGUAGAUAUGGGGAGGAACACCGGUGGCGAAGGCGGCCACCUGGACGGUAACUGACGCUGAGACGCGAAAGCGUGGGGAGCAAACAGG